AGAGUUUGAUCAUGGCUCAGGAUGAACGCUGGCGGCAUGCCUAAGACAUGCAAGUCGAACGGGAUGGCCCAUUGAUUAUAAUUGAAAAUUUGCGUGCUUGCACAAUAAUCGGAUUUUGUAUGAUUUGGAAUUUCCAUCCAGUGGCAAACGGGUGAGUAACACGUGGGUUACCUACCUUCGAGUUGGGGAUAACAGUUGGAAACGAUUGCUAAUACCGAAUACACUCUACGGAGCAAAGAUGCCUUUAAAGCAUCGCUUGAAGAUGGGCCUGCGGCGUAUUAGCUAGUUGGUGGGAUAAUAGCCUACCAAGGCAACGAUGCGUAGCCGAACUGAGAGGUGGAUCGGCCACAUUGGGACUGAGACACGGCCCAGACUCCUACGGGAGACAGCAGUUAGGAAUAUUCGUCAAUGGGGGAAACCCUGAACGAGCAAUGCCGCGUGAGUGAUGACGGCCCUCUGGGUUGUAAAACUCUGUUGUUUGGAAAGAAUUGUAAAGAUAGGAAAUGAUCUUUAUUUGACGGUACCAUUCAAAAAAGCCACGGCUAACUACGUGCCAGCAGCCGCGGUAAUACGUAGGUGGCGAGCGUUAUCCGGAUUUAUUGGGCGUAAAGGGUGCGCAGGCGGCUUAUUAAGUCUAAGAUGAAAGUCCGAAGCUUAACUUCGGUUUGUUUUAGAAACUGGUAGGCUUGAGUAUGGUAGAGGCAAAUGGAAUUCCUAGUGUAGCGGUGGAAUGCGUAGAUAUUAGGAGGAACACCAGUGGCGAAGCGGUUUGCUGGGCCAUUACUGACGCUCAUGCACGA
rnacentral:rRNA from 1 species